UAUUGACACUGCUGGUCUGGAGACUGCACUUUGGUAUCAAAUGGAAAUUGUUAUUAAAAAUAGGAAAAUUGGGGCUUUGUAUAAUGCACUGAGAGAAGCAUGUUAUGAGGUAAGCUCAAGAUCAGAGAGACAGAAAACUGGUGGGGAAGAGAAGUCAGGCCAGAGGGGAGAGAAGCUGACACGGAACCUGGUCUAUUAUUUUGUAAUAUGCACAUUUAUUGGUAUGAGGUGUUUUACUCUUGCAGCUGGGAGAGAUAGUAGGACAGAUCCUGUUGGUUCCCACCAGAGUAAAUGACAAGUUUUCAGAACCAAAGCAAGUUUCCAGCCACUUGGAAGACAUCUUCACAGCCAAGACUUCUGUUUAAGAAAAUGGGCCACCUGGGGAAGUUUGGUAGGGAAAGGCAAAACAGGGUUCUGUUGUGGAAUGACUUGUGUACCCCCACCAAUAUUAAUUGAAGCCUUAAUCCGAAAUGUGACUGUACUUGGAGAUAAGGGCUUUUAAAAAGUUGUUCUAAUUAGUUGUACAUUACAGUAGAAUGAAUUUUGAUACAUACAUGGAGUAUAAAUUCUCAUUCUUCUGGUUGUACAUGAUGUAGAAUCACACCUGUCAUGUAAUCAUAUAUGUACGUAGGGUAAUAAUGUUCAAUUCUUUCUACUAUCCUUCCUAUCCCCACACCCUCUACCUUCCUGUCACUCCCUUCUGCCUAGUCCAAAGUACCUCUAUUCUUCCCUAAUCUCCCCCCCACCACGCCCCUCAUUGUAAAUUAGUAUCCGCAUAUCAGAGAAAAUAUUCAGCCUUUGGUUUUGGGGGAUUGGUUUAUUUUGCUUAGCAUGAUAUUCUCCAGCAGCAUCCAUCUAUCUUCAAAUGCUAUAAUUUCUUUAAGGCUGAAUAAUAUUCCAUUGUGUAUAUGCACAUUUUUUAGUCCAUUCAUCUGAGGAAGGGCAUCCAGGUAGGUUCCAUAGCUUAGCUAUUAUGAAUUGAGCUGCUGUAAACAUUGAUGUGACUGCAUCACUAUCAUAUGCUGAUUUUAAGUCCUUUGGAUAUAGACCGAGGAGUGGGAUAGCUGGGUCAAAUGGUGGUUCCAUUCCAAGUUUUCUGAGGAAUCUCCAUACUAUUUCCCACAAUGAUUGCACCAAUUUUGGCAAGGAUGUGGGGAAAAGAAGACAGGAGUGUACCACACAAAGGGAAGUGAGAGAGGACACAGCAAGAUGGCAGGUGACUGCAAGCCAGGGAGAGAGGGCUGAAGAGAAAUCAACCUGCUGGCACCUUCCUCUUAGAUUUACAGGCUCCACAACUGUAAAAUAAUGAAUUUCUGUUGUUUUGGCCACCCUGUCUGUGGGACGUUGUUUUAGCAAGUAGAGCAGAAUGAUGGUGUCCAACCAAGGAGAGAGGGUGAGUUUCCUGAAGCUGGUGCAGGGGACGAGUUUGGGAGAAGGUUCUGCUGGUUGAGAACUGCCUCCAGGUGAUAAGGCCUCUGAGGAGCUGGUAUGUCGUGGGAAAUAUAGUCACAGGAGGCAGAGCCUCAGGUCACAGAGCCCACGGAUAAGAACAGUGAGCAUCUCCUUGGGCCAAGGGCUCCAGGCCUACCGUCUAUGUCCAGAUGACUCCUAAGCCCCAAGGGUCCUAGUACAAUCAUACAGAGAAGUAGCCAUCCGUCCAAAACUGCACGGAUUGGAUGUGUCAACAUUUUAACCAGUGGUGGCUUGGAGCUAGUUGGCUUCAGUUUCUGAAAAUAAUGUCUAUUUCUUGCAUUGACUGUUGUGGAGCAAAUCUAGAUCAAGUGCACAAUUUGUAAAUAAGUAAUGGGCUAAGUUUAUAACACUUUAAAAUAUCUUAUAGUGGAAGAAUUUAGGUAUAUGUGAAAAUAGUAGAAGAAUGGACUUGUUUCUAUCACCCUGUUCAGUUAUCACCACCUGUGGCUAACCAUUUGAUUUAUUCUCUCACCCCUCGUCCCUCAUGGAUUAGUUUGAAGCAAUCCCUAGAUAUUACAACAGUUUAUCCAUGAAUGUUUCAGUAUCCUUUCCAAAUUGACUAAAAUUAUCACAUCAAAAUCUAAUGAAAGUUUUAUUUUAUCAAAUAUUCAGUUUUCAAAUGUCCCUGGUUGUCUCAUAGUGUUUUUGAAAAACAGUGUACUUGAGUCAAGAUCUAAAUGAAUGUAACACAUUGAGGGCGGUUGGUAGGUCCCCUCUCUUUGAAAAGUCAGGAUUACCAGUGCUCAAGUGGUCUCAAGCUUUGGUCAGCAGCAGCCUCUUCACACUGGAUGCUGGGUAUUUUAGAUAUGAUGGUAGUGGUCUUUGGUAGUUUUCUUGCCUUCUGGUGUGAUAAGUUUCUAAGUUCUUUUUGUUCAUUUCCCACCCCAAGCCCUGGAAUCAGCUAUUUCUCUAGGACUCUGGGUUUAGAGUGGUUUUACCACCAGCUUGGUAAAUAUUUCAUUUUGUCUUAGAUUUUUAUGGGUUGCUUUUCAAUUUAAUUUUGUUUUAUAAUUAUAUAAAAUAUUAUCUUAAGUCAAAUCUGCAGAAGAAAAUCUAGCCAAAGUUCCAGUUUCCCUCCCUUCUCCACCAGUGUCUUCCUUACCUCGGCAAGUAACUAUUCUUCAUUUUCAAUUUAUCUUUCCAAUUUAAAAGAACAUAUAAACAAAUGAGUUUGUAUUUUUCUAUUCUUUUGCUGACCUCACUUACCCCCUCCUUUCUUAUCUCAUUAAUAAUGGCCCAGAGAUCACUCCAUAGCCUCUUAAAGAUACUUUACAUUUCUUUUAAAAACAGCUUUAUUGGGAGCUGGGGUUGUGGCUCAAUGGUAGAGCACUUGUCUUACACUGGGUAUGAUCCUCAGCACCACAUAAAAUAAAUAAAUAAGUAAAACAAAGGUAUUGUGUCCCAUGUUCAACUAAAAAAAAAUAAAAAUAAACAGCUUUAUUGAGGUUUAACUUUUAUAGACCUCACAAGUAUGAUUUCAUCUUACUCCAGUCAGAAUGGCAAUUAUCAAGAAUACAGCAAUAAUAAGUGUAGUGAGGAUGUGGGGGAAAAGGUACACUCAUACAUUGAUGGUGGGACUGCAAAUUGGUGCAACCAAUCUGGAAAGCAGUAUGGAAAUUUCUCAGAAAACUUGGAAUGGAACCACCAUUUGACCCAGCUAUCCCAUUCCUCGGUUUAUACCCAAAGGAGUUAAAAUCAGCAUUUGAUAGUGAUGCAGUCAUAUCAGUGUUAUAGCAACUCAAUUCACAAUAGCUAAACUAUGGAAACAACCUAGAUCCCCUACAAUAGAUGAAUGGAUAAAGAAACUGUGGUAUCUAUACAAACUGGAAUAUUACUCAAUAUUAAAAGAGAAUAAAAUUACGGCAUUUGCAGGUAAAGGGAAGGAGUUAGAGAAUAUCACACUAAGUGAAGUAAGCCAAUCCCCCAAACCAAAGGCCAAAUGUUCUUUCUGAUAUGAUAGGUGGAUGCUGAUCCAUAGUGUGUGUAUGUGGGGGUUGACAUGGGAAGAAUGGAGGAACUUUAAUUGGGCAAAGGGAGGGUGAGGAGGGUAGGGGCAAUGAGGGCAGGAAAGAUGGUGGAAUGAG
rnacentral:lncRNA from 1 species